GAGUUUGAUUAUGGCUCAGAUUGAACGCUGGCGGCAUGCUUUACACAUGCAAGUCGAACGGCAGCACAAGGAGCUUGCUCCUGGGUGGCGAGUGGCGAACGGGUGAGUAAUGUAUCGGAACGUGCCUGGUAGUGGGGGAUAACCACUCGAAAGAGUGGCUAAUACCGCAUGAGAUCUCUGGAUGAAAGCGGGGGACCUUUUGGCCUCGCGCUACUGGAGCGGCCGAUAUCAGAUUAGGUAGUUGGUGGGGUAAAGGCCUACCAAGCCUGCGAUCUGUAGCUGGUCUGAGAGGACGACCAGCCACACUGGGACUGAGACACGGCCCAGACUCCUACGGGAGGCAGCAGUGGGGAAUUUUGGACAAUGGGCGCAAGCCUGAUCCAGCAAUGCCGCGUGCAGGACGAAGGCCCUCGGGUUGUAAACUGCUUUUGUACAGAACGAAAACUCUCUGGUUAAUACCUGGGGAGGCAUGACG
rnacentral:rRNA from 1 species